rnacentral:rRNA from 1 species
GAAUAUUGGACAAUGGGCGAAAGCCUGAUCCAGCGACGCCGCGUGUGUGAAGAAGGCCUGCGGGUUGUAAAGCACUUUCGAUGGGAACGAAAUGUGCCGGGCUAAUACCCCGGCAAGCUGACGUUACUCAAUGAAGAAGCACCGGCUAACUCUGUGCCAGCAGCCGCGGUAAUACAGAGGGUGCGGGCGUUAAUCGGAAUUACUGGGCGUAAAGCGCGCGUAGGUGGUUCAGUAAGUUGGAUGUGAAAUCCCCGGGCUCAACCUGGGAACUGCAUCCAAAGCUGCUGAGCUAGAGUACGGUAGAGGGUAGUGGAAUUUCCUGUGUAGCGGUGAAAUGCGUAGAUAUAGGAAGGAACACCAGUGGCGAAGGCGACUACCUGGACUGAUACUGACACUGAGGUGCGAAAGCGUGGGGAGCAAACAGG